rnacentral:rRNA from 1 species
GGGUUGUGAGGUUAAGCGACUAAGCGUACACGGUGGAUGCCCUGGCAGUCAGAGGCGAUGAAGGGCGUGCUAAUCUGCGAUAAGCGCCGGUAAGGUGAUAUGAACCGUUAUAACCGGCGAUACCCGAAUGGGGAAACCCAGUGUGACUCGUCACACUAUCAUUAACUGAAUCCAUAGGUUAAUGAGGCGAACCGGGGGAACUGAAACAUCUAAGUACCCCGAGGAAAAGAAAUCAACCGAGAUUCCCCCAGUAGCGGCGAGCGAACGGGGAGGAGCCCAGAGCCUGAAUCAGCAUGUGUGUUAGUGGAAGCGUCUGGAAAGGCGCGCGAUACAGGGUGACAGCCCCGUACACAAAAGCGCAUGUGCUGUGAGCUCGAUGAGUAGGGCGGGACACGUGGUAUCCUGUCUGAAUAUGGGGGGACCAUCCUCCAAGGCUAAAUACUCCUGACUGACCGAUAGUGAACCAGUACCGUGAGGGAAAGGCGAAAAGAACCCCGGCGAGGGGAGUGAAAAAGAACCUGAAACCGUGUACGUACAAGCAGUGGGAGCCCCACCACUAAGCCAGUGGUGAACUCCACAUACGCAUCCUUUGCUGAGGAUACGGUUAACGGAGCGAAAGCGACGUUCAACCGCAAAAGAAGCAGAGGGGGCUUAGUGGUGGGGUGACUGCGUACCUUUUGUAUAAUGGGUCAGCGACUUAUAUUCUGUAGCAAGGUUAACCGUAUAGGGGAGCCGGAGGGAAACCGAGUCUUAACCGGGCGUUAAGUUGCAGGGUAUAGACCCGAAACCCGGUGAUCUAGCCAUGGGCAGGUUGAAGGUUGGGUAACACUAACUGGAGGACCGAACCGACUAAUGUUGAAAAAUUAGCGGAUGACCUGUGGCUGGGGGUGAAAGGCCAAUCAAACCGGGAGAUAGCUGGUUCUCCCCGAAAGCUAUUUAGGUAGCGCCUCGUGAAUUCAUCUCCGGGGGUAGAGCACUGUUUCGGCUAGGGGGCCAUCCCGGCUUACCAACCCGAUGCAAACUGCGAAUACCGGAGAAUGUUAUCACGGGAGACACACGGCGGGUGCUAACGUCCGUCGUGAAGAGGGAAACAACCCAGACCGCCAGCUAAGGUCCCAAAGUCAUGGUUAAGUGGGAAACGAUGUGGGAAGGCCCAGACAGCCAGGAUGUUGGCUUAGAAGCAGCCAUCAUUUAAAGAAAGCGUAAUAGCUCACUGGUCGAGUCGGCCUGCGCGGAAGAUGUAACGGGGCUAAACCAUGCACCGAAGCUGCGGCAGCGACACUAUGUGUUGUUGGGUAGGGGAGCGUUCUGUAAGCCUGUGAAGGUGUGUCGUGAGGCAUGCUGGAGGUAUCAGAAGUGCGAAUGCUGACAUAAGUAACGAUAAAGCGGGUGAAAAGCCCGCUCGCCGGAAGACCAAGGGUUCCUGUCCAACGUUAAUCGGGGCAGGGUGAGUCGACCCCUAAGGCGAGGCCGAAAGGCGUAGUCGAUGGGAAACGGGUUAAUAUUCCCGUACUUGGUGUUACUGCGAAGGGGGGACGGAGAAGGCUAUGUUGGCCGGGCGACGGUUGUCCCGGUUUAAGCGUGUAGGUGUGUGUUCCAGGUAAAUCCGGUUCACUUUAACACUGAGGCGUGACGACGAGGCACUACGGUGCUGAAGCAACAAAUGCCCUGCUUCCAGGAAAAGCCUCUAAGCAUCAGGUAACAUCAAAUCGUACCCCAAACCGACACAGGUGGUCAGGUAGAGAAUACCAAGGCGCUUGAGAGAACUCGGGUGAAGGAACUAGGCAAAAUGGUGCCGUAACUUCGGGAGAAGGCACGCUGACACGUAGGUGAAGUGAUUUACUCAUGGAGCUGAAGUCAGUCGAAGAUACCAGCUGGCUGCAACUGUUUAUUAAAAACACAGCACUGUGCAAACACGAAAGUGGACGUAUACGGUGUGACGCCUGCCCGGUGCCGGAAGGUUAAUUGAUGGGGUCAGCGCAAGCGAAGCUCCUGAUCGAAGCCCCGGUAAACGGCGGCCGUAACUAUAACGGUCCUAAGGUAGCGAAAUUCCUUGUCGGGUAAGUUCCGACCUGCACGAAUGGCGUAAUGAUGGCCAGGCUGUCUCCACCCGAGACUCAGUGAAAUUGAACUCGCUGUGAAGAUGCAGUGUACCCGCGGCAAGACGGAAAGACCCCGUGAACCUUUACUAUAGCUUGACACUGAACAUUGAGCCUUGAUGUGUAGGAUAGGUGGGAGGCUUUGAAGUGUGGACGCCAGUCUGCAUGGAGCCGGCCUUGAAAUACCACCCUUUAAUGUUUGAUGUUCUAACGUGGACCCGUGAUCCGGGUUGCGGACAGUGUCUGGUGGGUAGUUUGACUGGGGCGGUCUCCUCCUAAAGAGUAACGGAGGAGCACGAAGGUUGGCUAAUCCUGGUCGGACAUCAGGAGGUUAGUGCAAUGGCAUAAGCCAGCUUGACUGCGAGCGUGACGGCGCGAGCAGGUGCGAAAGCAGGUCAUAGUGAUCCGGUGGUUCUGAAUGGAAGGGCCAUCGCUCAACGGAUAAAAGGUACUCCGGGGAUAACAGGCUGAUACCGCCCAAGAGUUCAUAUCGACGGCGGUGUUUGGCACCUCGAUGUCGGCUCAUCACAUCCUGGGGCUGAAGUAGGUCCCAAGGGUAUGGCUGUUCGCCAUUUAAAGUGGUACGCGAGCUGGGUUUAGAACGUCGUGAGACAGUUCGGUCCCUAUCUGCCGUGGGCGCUGGAGAACUGAGGGGGGCUGCUCCUAGUACGAGAGGACCGGAGUGGACGCAUCACUGGUGUUCGGGUUGUCAUGCCAAUGGCACUGCCCGGUAGCUAAAUGCGGAAGAGAUAAGUGCUGAAAGCAUCUAAGCACGAAACUUGCCCCGAGAUGAGUUCUCCCUGAGACUUUAAGUCUCCUGAAGGAACGUUGAAGACGACGACGUUGAUAGGCCGGGUGUGUAAGCGCAGCGAUGCGUUGAGCUAACCGGUACUAAUGAACCGUGAGGCUUAACCUUACAACGCCGAAG